AACACACCUUCGUGUGUGUUCUAGAUCGAUCAGGAGACUCCCAUGGAGUCUCAAACCCUAAACAUGAAAGAUCAUCAAAUUGGAAGGCUAAAUGAUGCUUAAACUCAUAACCGAGCAUGGAUUAAUGAUCACCAACACGAGGGGAUCAUAAGUAUAGGAAUCACGUCGAGACGGGCGCAAGCAUGAGAUGUUAACGGGUCAAUAAGAGGCAAGGAAUCGGAUGCGAGCACGGACGCAUAAGGUUGUACGAAUCACGGAUUAACCUCACAAGGAGUAGCGAUCGAAGACCGAGUCACAAGAUAGAUUGUACGAGAAUGUUUACAUAUGUAAUUUAGUGAUGAUAAGUUAUGUUUUUAUAUUUUAAAGUGGACUUUCAAGUAAGACAAAACGUUUAUAAUGAAUGAAAUUUUAGGGUACGUAUUUCCGCUGCGA